rnacentral:rRNA from 1 species
GAUGAACGCUAGCUACAGGCUUAACACAUGCAAGUCGAGGGGAAACGAUAUUGGAAGCUUGCUUCCGAUAGGCGUCGACCGGCGCACGGGUGAGUAACGCGUAUCCAAGCUGCCCAUCACUUGGGGAUAACCUUGCGAAAGUAAGACUAAUACCCAAUGACGUCCCUAGAAGACAUCUGACAGAGAUUAAAGAUUUAUCGGUGAUGGUUGGGGAUGCGUCUGAUUAGGUUGGUGGCGGGGUACCGGCCCACCAAGGCGACGAUCAGGAGGGGUUCUGAGAGGAAGGUCCACCAGAUUGGAACUGAGGCACGGUCCAAACUCCUACGGGAGGCAGCAGUAAGGAAUAUUGGUCAAUGGGCGAGAGCCUGAACCAGCCAAGUAGCGUGCAGGAAGACGGGCCUAUGGAUUGUAAACUGCUUUUAUAAGGGGAUAAAGUGGGAGUCGUGACUCCUUUUGCAUGUACCUUAUGAAUAAGGACCGGCUAAUUCCGUGCCAGCCGCCGCGGUAA